rnacentral:rRNA from 1 species
ACUCCUACGGGAGGCAGCAGUGGGGAAUUUUGCGCAAUGGGGGAAACCCUGACGCAGCAACGCCGCGUGAGUGAUGAAGGCCUUCGGGUUGUAAAGCUCUUUUAGUGGGGAAGAAGCCCUCCAGGACUAAUAAUCCUGGGGUCUGACGGUACCCACAGAAAAAGUUCCGGCUAACUACGUGCCAGCAGCCGCGGUAAUACGUAGGGAGCAAGCGUUGUUCGGAAUUAUUGGGCGUAAAGAGCGCGUAGGCGGUUCGGUAAGUCUGACGUGAAAUCCCGGAGCUUAACUCCGGAACUGCGUUGGAUACUGCCGGGCUUGAGUGUGGGAGAGGAGAGUGGAAUUCCCAGUGUAGAGGUGAAAUUCGUAGAUAUUGGGAGGAACACCCGUGGCGAAGGCGGCUCUCUGGACCACAACUGACGCUGAGGCGCGAAAGCUAGGGGAGCAAACGGGAUUAGAUACCCCGGUAGUCCUAGCCGUAAACGAUGGGCACUAGGUGUUGGAGGUAUCGACCCCUCCAGUGCCGCAGCUAACGCAUUAAGUGCCCCGCCUGGGGA